UACGUAGGGGGCAAGCGUUGUCCGGAUUUACUGGGCGUAAAGAGCGUGUAGGCGGCCAAGCAGGUCCGUUGUGAAAACUGGAGGCUUAACCUCCAGACGUCGACGGAAACCGCGUGGCUAGAGUCCGGAAGAGGAGAGUGGAAUUCCUGGUGUAGCGGUGAAAUGCGCAGAUAUCAGGAAGAACACCAAUGGCGAAAGCAGCUCUCUGGAACGGUACUGACGCUGAGACGCGAAAGCGUGGGGAGCGAACAGG
rnacentral:rRNA from 1 species